CACCCUUAGGCUUUCCCAAUUAAAUCAUUAUAUUUAAAGCCAUUUUUAUUUAAUAUAUAUAAAUUAUAAUUUGGGAAAUAAUUAUAUUAAGGGCCCUCCCUGCCCAGUGAAUGAAAGCUAAUAUUUUCAUUUUAACGGCUGCGGUAUCCUGACCGUACAAAGGUAGCAUAAUCAUUUGCCUUUUGAUUGGAGGCUAGAAUGAAUGGGAAGACUUAGUUUAGCUGUCUCAAUACUAGUUCUAAUAAAUUAACUUAUUAGUGAAGAGGCUAAUAUUUUAGAGUAGGACGAGAAGACCCCUGAAAAGCUUAUUUUAAUGUGUAAAAUAAAUUAUUAUAAAUUUUGAAUCUAAUUAAUAAAUCCUAAACAAAUUAUUUUAUAUUGCUUAUUAUAUCUUAAAAUUUAACUGGGGCGGUUAUUGGUAAAAUUUUAUCUACCAAAUUUUUAAAUUUAGUUUAUUGGUAUUAUAGAAUUUAAUAUAAUUUUACUAAAAAUUUAAGUUUAAUGUAAACAAAUUAUUUAAAUAUUUUAUAAUAUCAAAAAUUUAACUUUAGUAAGAUCCAAUUUAGUUAAUGCUACUCAAAUAUAUUAACUAACUUGAAAAUCGUAAAUUUAAAGUUACUAAGGGGAUAACAGAAAAAUUUAAUAAGUGAGUUCUAAUUACUUAUUAUAGCUUUUUACCUCGAUGUUGGACUAGGGUUGACCUC
rnacentral:rRNA from 1 species